GAUGAACGCUGGCGGCGUGCCUAACACAUGCAAGUCGAGCGGCAGCGAGGGGUGCUUGCACCCUGUCGGCGAGCGGCGGACGGCUGAGUAACGCGUGGGAACGUGCCCCAAAGUGAGGAAUAACUGCCCGAAAGGGUAGCUAAUACCGCAUAUUAUCUUCGGAUCAAAGGAUUUAUCCGCUUUGGGAGCGGCUCGCGUCGGAUUAGGUAGUUGGUGAGGUAAUGGCUCACCAAGCCGACGAUCCGUAGCUGGUCUGAGAGGAUGACCAGCCAGACUGGAACUGAGACACGGUCCAGACUCCUACGGGAGGCAGCAGUGAGGAAUCUUCCACAAUGGGCGAAAGCCUGAUGGAGCAACGCCGCGUGCAGGACGAAGGCCUUUGGGUUGUAAACUGCUUUUAUAAGUGAGGAAUAUGACGGUAACUUAUGAAUAAGGAUCGGCUAACUACGUG
rnacentral:rRNA from 1 species